rnacentral:rRNA from 1 species
UUUUUGGAAACCGCAAGUUUGCGCCCGAUGCCAUUAGGUUGAGGGCACGUCUGCCUGGGUGUCACAUAUCGAAGCCUCCUGCCAAUUUCCAUUUGACUUUUGUGCAGGGUGGAUGUUGGCCUCCCGUGAGCUAUGUUGUCUCAUGGUUGGUUGAAAAUUGAGACCUUGGUAGGGUGUGCCAUGAUAGAUGGUGGUUGUGUGACCCACGAGACCAAUCAUGCGCUGCUCUAUUGAAUUUGGCCUCUUUUACCCAUAUGCGUUUCUAAACGCUCGUGAUGAGACCUCAGGUCAGGCGGGGCUACCCGCUGAAUUUAAGCAUAUCAAUAAGCGGAGGAAAAGAAACUAACAAGGAUUCCCUUAGUAACGGCGAGCGAACCGGGAUAAGCCCACCAUGAGAAUCGAUCGCCCUCGGCGUUCGAAUUGUAUCGGAAAAAAACCUUAAAAACU